rnacentral:rRNA from 1 species
GACGAACGCUGGCGGCGUGCUUAACACAUGCAAGUCGAGCGGUAAGGCCCUUUCGGGGGUACGACGAGCGGCGAACGGGUGAGUAACACGUGGGUGACCUGCCCUCAGCUCUGGGAUAAGCCUGGGAAACCGGGUCUAAUACUGGAUAUGACUCCAUGACGCAUGUUGUGGGGUGGAAAGCCUUGUGCGGCUGAGGAUGGGCCCGCGGCCUAUCAGCUUGUUGGUGGGGUGAGGCCUACCAAGGCGACGACGGGUAGCCGGCCUGAGAGGGCGACCGGCCACACUGGGACUGAGACACGGCCCAGACUCCUACGGGAGGCAGCAGUGGGGAAUCUUGCGCAAUGGGCGAAAGCCUGACGCAGCGACGCCGCGUGAGGGAUGACGGCCUCGGUUGUAA